rnacentral:rRNA from 1 species
UACGUAGGGUGCAGGCGUUAAUCGGAAUUACUGGGCGUAAAGCGUGCGCAGGCGGUUUCUUAAGUCAGAUGUGAAAUCCCCGGGCUUAACCUGGGAACUGCAUUUGUGACUGCAUGGCUGGAGUGCGGCAGAGGGGGAUGGAAUUCCGCGUGUAGCAGUGAAAUGCGUAGAUAUGCGGAGGAACACCGAUAGCGAAGGCAAUCCCCUGGGCCUGCACUGACGCUCAUGCACGAAAGCGUGGGGAGCAAACAGG